UGAGAAUCUGGCAAAAGGUUCGGGACAACAGUUGGAAACGGCUGCUAAUACCGGAUGUGCCUGUGGGUGAAAGAUUAAUCGCCUUUUGAUGAGCUCGCGUCUGAUUAGCUAGUUGGUGUGGUAAGAGCGCACCAAGGCGACGAUCAGUAGCUGGUCUGAGAGGAUGACCAGCCACACUGGGACUGAGACACGGCCCAGACUCCUACGGGAGGCAGCAGUGGGGAAUUUUCCGCAAUGGGCGAAAGCCUGACGGAGCAAUACCGCGUGAGGGAGGAAGGCUCUUGGGUUGUAAACCUCUUUUCUCAGGGAAUAAGAAAGUGAAGGUACCUGAGGAAUCAGCAUCGGCUAACUCCGUGCCAGCAGCCGCGGUAAUACGGAGGAUGCAAGCGUUAUCCGGAAUGAUUGGGCGUAAAGCGUCCGCAGGUGGUUGCUCAAGUCUGCUGUCAAAGAGUCUGGCUCAACCAGAUAAAGGCAGUGGAAACUGAGAGACUAGAGUGCGGUAGGGGCAGAGGGAAUUCCUGGUGUAGCGGUGAAAUGCGUAGAGAUCAGGAAGAACACCGGUGGCUGAAAGCGCUCUGCUGGACCGGCCAACAUGCCUCAAUGAAGGCGACACUGGGAAA
rnacentral:rRNA from 1 species